UGACAAGUCGUUUUUAUCGCCUUUCUCGCGGACUUCCAAUUAUCAAGGAAAAGUGUGUACGUCUCCAGGACGACUGGCUUCGUGAACUGUCGAGAAAACAGAAAUAUGCGUUAGAGCCUCUAACAGACAAAGAAGCGUAUUUAUAUUUCUUACAUUUUCUACAGAUAACGAGUAUUUUAUAUUAAAGUUUCAAAAUGAAGAAACGCUGAACAUUUUUACCUGAUAGAAGAUCUCGUCCACUGUCGCGGCAUCCACCAAACCAGCAUUUUCGGAACUCUUCAACGGUUUUACACAGCGGAUGGUGGUUGCUAGAGUUUGACGAAAACAACAACCUGGGGAUGCGUGACUGCAUAACUUAGAGAGAUACUGUUCACGAAGUAGAUCACUCGAGUGGAAUCCUUGUUCGAAUGAAGUAAAUAAACGAGUAAUGAGCUUGUUUACGAGAAACAAGGACGCGGCAUCGAUAUUCGAGGAACUUUGGAAUAGCGCAUUUCAAUCGAGUUGGCUGCUGGCAUUUCUCCGCAAGGAAAAAUAACACAAACCGAGACAACACGUUCUCAGUUGAAUUAAGAUAUUAUUCUGUGUCCUGUUGUGCCCUGUUCCCCGUAAUCAAUAACAGAUUUCUGGGAAAGAAUAAUUGUUGCAUUUUCCGAAUAUCCAUCAGUUUUGUAAUUAUUCUCUUAAUUACACGUUUUGGAAAAUACAUUUUGAUUAACGUUCAUCGAAUUGGUCUUUGAUUUGAACAAACACUUGAAAUAAAAUCGAAGAUUGAAUUUUAUUAUGGUAGACGGUGAAAUUUAUUUAUGGAUUUAAACAAAAUGU